rnacentral:rRNA from 1 species
AUGAUUCGGCCUCCCUCCAACCAUUGCCAUCGUAAAAUACAAGAAAGCACCCGCUUCAAUCCAUAUUUCAAGGAUUGUGUUGGAGCAAUAGAUGGGACUCAUGUGCUUGCUAGAGUCCCAAAAAGUAUCUCAGCUGCCUUUAGGGGCAGAAAAGAGGGGACUACCCAAAAUGUGAUGGCCGCGGUAGACUUUGAUCUAAAGUUUACCUAUGUACUUGCGGGUUGGGAGGGGUCAGCUCAUGAUGCCCUUAUACUUGCAAAUGCAUUAGAGAGGGAAGAUGGAUUGAAAGUUCCUACAGGUAAUAAAUUAGAGUCUACUACCUAA